CUAUACAUGCAGUCGAGCGAACAGAUAAGGAGCUUGCUCCUUUGACGUUAGCGGCGGACGGGUGAGUAACACGUGGGUAACCUACCUAUAAGACUGGGAUAACUUCGGGAAACCGGAGCUAAUACCGGAUAACAUUUGGAACCGCAUGGUUCUAAAGUGAAAGAUGGUUUUGCUAUCACUUAUAGAUGGACCCGCGCCGUAUUAGCUAGUUGGUAAGGUAACGGCUUACCAAGGCGACGAUACGUAGCCGACCUGAGAGGGUGAUCGGCCACACUGGAACUGAGACACGGUCCAGACUCCUACGGGAGGCAGCAGUAGGGAAUCUUCCGCAAUGGGCGAAAGCCUGACGGAGCAACGCCGCGUGAGUGAUGAAGGGUUUCGGCUCGUAAAACUCUGUUAUUAGGGAAGAACAAACGUGUAAGUAACUGUGCACGUCUUGACGGUACCUAAUCAGAAAGCCACGGCUAACUACGUGCCAGCAGCCGCGGUAAUACGUAGGUGGCAAGCGUUAUCCGGAAUUAUUGGGCGUAAAGCGCGCGUAGGCGGUUUCUUAAGUCUGAUGUGAAAGCCCACGGCUCAACCGUGGAGGGUCAUUGGAAACUGGGAAACUUGAGUGCAGAAGAGGAAAGUGGAAUUCCAUGUGUAGCGGUGAAAUGCGCAGAGAUAUGGAGGAACACCAGUGGCGAAGGCGACUUUCUGGUCUGUAACUGACGCUGAUGUGCGAAAGCGUGGGGAUCAAACAGGAUUAGAUACCCUGGUAGUCCACGCCGUAAACGAUGAGUGCUAAGUGUUAGGGGGUUUCCGCCCCUUAGUGCUGCAGCUAACGCAUUAAGCACUCCGCCUGGGGAGUACGACCGCAAGGUUGAAACUCAAAGGAAUUGACGGGGACCCGCACAAGCGGUGGAGCAUGUGGUUUAAUUCGAAGCAACGCGAAGAACCUUACCAAAUCUUGACAUCCUUUGAAAACUCUAGAGAUAGAGCCUUCCCCUUCGGGGGACAAAGUGACAGGUGGUGCAUGGUUGUCGUCAGCUCGUGUCGUGAGAUGUUGGGUUAAGUCCCGCAACGAGCGCAACCCUUAAGCUUAGUUGCCAUCAUUAAGUUGGGCACUCUAGGUUGACUGCCGGUGACAAACCGGAGGAAGGUGGGGAUGACGUCAAAUCAUCAUGCCCCUUAUGAUUUGGGCUACACACGUGCUACAAUGGACAAUACAAAGGGCAGCUAAACCGCGAGGUCAUGCAAAUCCCAUAAAGUUGUUCUCAGUUCGGAUUGUAGUCUGCAACUCGACUACAUGAAGCUGGAAUCGCUAGUAAUCGUAGAUCAGCAUGCUACGGUGAAUACGUUCCCGGGUCUUGUACACACCGCCCGUCACACCACGAGAGUUUGUAACACCCGAAGCCGGUGGAGUAACCAUUUAUGGAGCUAGCCGU
rnacentral:rRNA from 1 species